rnacentral:rRNA from 1 species
UAAAAAUUUAAUUUAAAAUAUUUAAGUAGUAUUAGUUAAGGUCUUUAAAUUUAAAAAAUUUGGCGGUAUUUUAGUCUAUUCAGAGGAACCUGUUUUGUAAUUGAUAGUCCACGAUGAAUCUUACUUAAAUUUGUUUUUAGUUUAUAUAUCGUCGUUAAAAGAAUAUUUUAUAAGAAUAAUAAUUUUCUUAAUUUUUAAUUUUAAAAUAUAUCAGAUCAAGAUGUAGCUUAUAUUUAAGUUUAUAAUGGGUUACAAUUAUUAUAAUAUUGGAAAUUAAUAUGUAAUUUAUUUUUUGAAAUUGGAUUUGAAAGUAAAUUUAUAUAGAUUAAUAGAUUGAUUAUUGCUCUAAAAUAUG